rnacentral:rRNA from 1 species
GACGAACGCUGGCGGCGUGCUUAACACAUGCAAGUGGAGCGACGAACCAGGGCUUGCCCUGGGGCAGAGCCGCGAACGGGUGAGUAACACGUGGGUAACGUGCCCCAAUGAUCGGGACAACCCGGGGAAACCCGGGCUAAUACCGAAUGUGCUCCCCUCACACCAGUGAGGGAUGGAAAGGAAGCUUCGGCCUCCGCAUUGGGAUCGGCCCGCGGCCCAUUAGCUUGUUGGUGAGGUAACGGCUCACCAAGGCUGCGAUGGGUAGCUGGUCUGAGAGGACGAUCAGCCACACUGGGACUGAGACACGGCCCAGACUCCUACGGGAGGCAGCAGUGGGGAAUCUUGCGCAAUGCGCGAAAGCGUGACGCAGCAACGCCGCGUGGGGGAAGAAGGCCUUCGGGUUGUAAACCCCUUUCAGGAGGGACGAAGCCUUGGCGGUUAAUAGCCGACCCAGGUGACGGUACCUCCAGAAGAAGCCCCGGCUAACUACGUGCCAGCAGCCGCCGUAACAC